UCUGGGUUUGAUUGUUGUUGAGUAAGUGUCAAUUUCGUCCAUACUUAAUUUACUAUCGUGGCAGCUACCUUCUAUAUGAAUCAUCGAAAGCAUUGGCCAUCCAGAGUUCUCAAUCUAAAUUUAUCUUUUCAGGAUCUAUAUGUGGAUGUUCCAUCGACCAAAACUGCCUUGUCUCGGAAUGGCUAAAUUGUUCUCUUUUGAAAUGCAGAGAUGUUAAAUCUGUUUCACUUAACCAAAGCUGGAAAUAGAGGAUAUGAUUGGCGGACUCAGUAAGGAAGAUGUUCAAAGUUAUGAGGAUAUGACAAGAUUGCAAAUUGUGAACCAGAACGAGUUCAUCGGCAUCAUCAUUGGCGAAGCUGUUAUAGAUGAAAAUUGUUAUGAAAAAUGCUUUAGGAGACUGUUGGGGAAUUCUUUCCGUGGAUAAGGAAAAAACUUAAUUUAUAAUCUUUAUUUUGAUUGCCAAUCUUGUAUUUAUGAAGUAAAGCUUAUUGGAGAGGGA